rnacentral:rRNA from 1 species
GGAAUCUUCGGCAAUGGACGAAAGUCUGACCGAGCAACACCGCGUGAGUGAAGAAGGUUUUCGGAUCGUAAAACUCUGUUGGUAGAGAAGAACGUUGGUGAGAGUGGAAAGCUCAUCAAGUGACGGUAACUACCCAGAAAGGGACGGCUAACUACGUGCCUG